rnacentral:rRNA from 1 species
CGGGGCCUACGGGACGCAGCAGUGAGGAAUAUUGGUCAAUGGGCGAGAGCCUGAACCAGCCAAGUCGCGUGAGGGAAGACGGUCCUAUGGAUUGUAAACCUCUUUUGUCAGGGAGCAAUUGGCGCUACGUGUAGCGUUAUCGAGAGUACCUGAAGAAAAAGCAUCGGCUAACUCCGUGCCAGCAGCCGCGGUAAUACGGAGGAUGCGAGCGUUAUCCGGAUUUAUUGGGUUUAAAGGGUGCGUAGGCGGAAUGCCAAGUCAGCGGUAAAAUCGCGGGGCUCAACCUCGCUCCGCCGUUGAAACUG